rnacentral:rRNA from 1 species
UCGUGCCAGCCGUCGCGGUUAGACGAAGAAUCCGUAUAGAAUGAAUGUUUACAUUAGUUAACGUUCAAUUUUUGAAGUUUCUCUAGCUUUUUUGUUGGGUGAAAUCAGUAUAAGAAGCUCUUUCUUCUUUAAAAAUUAGUAGGAACUAAAAAACUUUGAUUUAAAACCAGGAUUAGAUACCCUGUUAUUCUCAGUUAUUCUUAAACAGGGUAGUAAAAGUUGUUCUUCAAACCCAAAGAUUUUGGCGGCACUUUAUCCAAAUAGAGGAGCUUGUCCCUUAAUCGAUAGUCCUCGUUUUAUCUUUCCUUCAUUUGUAAAGCUUGUAUACCGCCGUUGUCAGAUUACUUUUAGAGAAUGUUUUCAAGUUAAAAGACUUUAUAACUUCAGGUCAAGGUGCAGUUUAUAUGGGGGUGGAGGUGAGCUACAGUUUUCUUUAGAAAAUACGGAUUCUAAGCUCUGAAGCUAGCUGAAGGUGGAUUUACUAGUAAAGUAAUUUAAGUAAAAUUACUUGAAUAAGGCAAUAAAGUGUGUACAUAUCGCCCGUCACUCUCUCCUUAAGGAGAGAUAAGUAGUAACAAAGUAGAUGUACUGGAAAGUGCAUA